rnacentral:rRNA from 1 species
UCUCAGUUCGGAUCGGAGUCUGCAACCCGACUCCGUGAAGCUGGAUUCGCUAGUAAUCGCGCAUCAGCCAUGGCGCGGUGAAUACGUUCCCGGGCCUUGUACACACCGCCCGUCAAGCCAUGGAAGCCGGGGGGUGCCUGAAGUGUGCAGCCGCAAGGAGCGCCCUAAGGUAAAACCGGUGACUGGGGCUAAGUCGUAACAAGGUACC